rnacentral:rRNA from 1 species
UACAGAGGGUGCGAGCGUUAAUCGGAAUUACUGGGCGUAAAGCGCACGUAGGCGGCUUUGUAAGUCGGAUGUGAAAUCCCCGGGCUCAACCUGGGAACUGCACCCGAAACUACAUUGCUAGAGUAUGGGAGAGGGAGGCGGAAUUUCCGGUGUAGCAGUGAAAUGCGUAGAUAUCGGAAGGAACAUCAGUGGCGAAGGCGGCCUCCUGGACCAAUACUGACGCUCAGGUGCGAAAGCGUGGGGAGCAAACAGGAUUAGAUACCCUGGUAGUCCACGCCCUAAACGAUGAGAACUGGAUGUCGGGAGGGUUUGCCUUCCGGUGUCGUAGCUAACGCGAUAAGUUCUCCGCCUGGGAAGUACGGCCGCAAGGUUGAA